UGGGGAAUAUUGGACAAUGGGCGCAAGCCUGAUCCAGCCAUGCCGCGUGAGUGAUGAAGGCCCUAGGGUUGUAAAGCUCUUUCACCGGUGAAGAUAAUGACGGUAACCGGAGAAGAAGCCCCGGCUAACUUCGUGCCAGCAGCCGCGGUAAUACGAAGGGGGCUAGCGUUGUUCGGAUUUACUGGGCGUAAAGCGCACGUAGGCGGACUAUUAAGUCAGGGGUGAAAUCCCGGGGCUCAACCCCGGAACUGCCUUUGAUACUGGUAGUCUUGAGUUCGAGGGAGGUGAGUGGAAUUCCGAGUGUAGAGGUGAAAUUCGUAGAUAUUCGGAGGAACACCAGUGGCGAAGGCGGCUCACUGGCUCGAUACUGACGCUGAGGUGCGAAGGCGUGGGGAGCAAACAGG
rnacentral:rRNA from 1 species